AAGUCGUAACAAGGUCUCCGUAGGUGAAACCUGCGGAGGGAUCAUUACCGAGUGGAGGGCGCCCCGGCGCCCGACCUCCCAACCCUUUGAUUGAUCAAGACCUCUCUCUGCCUCGGGGGUGACCCGGCCCUCGGGCCGCGGUCCCCCCGGCGGCGCCCCCAAACCAACCCUGCAUCAAUUGUCGUCGAUAUUGAAGCGAAUUCAAUCAAAACUUUCAACAACGGAUCUCUUGGUUCUGGCAUCGAUGAAGAACGCAGCGAAAUGCGAUAAGUAAUGUGAAUUGCAGAAUUCAGUGAAUCAUCGAAUCUUUGAACGCACAUUGCGCCCCCUGGCAUUCCGGGGGGCAUGCCUGUUCGAGCGUCAUUACACCAAUCAAGCCUGGCUUGGUAUUGGGCGACGGGGCCGUCACACGCCCCGCGCCCCGAAGACUCCCCCGGCGGGACGGACUGUAUCUCAGCGUUGUGCAAAUGUCGCUGGCGAUUUACGGGACGGCCGUGCCGUAAAACCCCCCUUUCUCAAAGGUUGACCUCGGAUCAGGUAGGGAUACCGCUGAACUUAA
rnacentral:rRNA from 1 species